GGAAGCUCCCAAGGGUCGUACUUAUAGAGAUCGACCUCGGCGAUGAUCGGCACGGGCAGGGGCUGGUAGGCCACCUUCUUGCAGAGGUAAUGGAGGACGAGCUCCUCGUCGGUCGGGUGGAACCGAAAUCCGGGUGGCAGGAGGGAGAGGGAUUUAUAAAUAUGGGAGGAGGAGUCGUCACGCGGGCUCGCGGAAGCAUCCCUCCGGUGGGAGUCAAAGGAGGUGACGGCCGAAACUCGAACAGUCAACAAAGCGGCAUCUCAAGGACACCGCUAUCCUACGUACGCACGCAUAAUAAUUCCCAUGCGCGAUACACAUCUGUCGUCUUCCCUCUGGAUGUGACGGAUGGCGCUCAAGUUUCGGAGUUCUCGUACGGGAAUUCUUGUGCGAGUGGAUCUCAAGGAGAGCAUCGUUUCGGUGCUUUACAGCGCAUAAAUAUUUUAACCAUGGUGGUUAUAUUGGGAUCGGAGGACGACAAAAGUUGGUGCGCCUCCCCUAAUCUCUCUUGGGCACGUGAUAAAGAUGGGGGCUUGGAACGUAGGAUCCAUUGAACCGGGAGCAUAGGGAGGGACAGGUCACGGGGGCCAGCGGUGGAUUCUGGGGGAGGGGACGGUGGGGAUGAUGUCAGUGCCAACGUUGAUGCGCCGGUAUGAGGUUUCCAGCUCUUUCCUCGUUUAAAAAGUUUUUUUGUCUCCACCUCAGCCUCUUGCUUGGGUGGAAAGCAACCGCUGCUGUCGGCUAAGGGAGUCCGGUUAACCCGAUUUUUGAGUUGGCUCGGUGUCGACGGGUCUUCGAUUUGGGUUAACUCGGUUUCGAGUUGAUUCUUGUGGUUUCGAGUUGCCUUUUUGGCCGGAGGAGAAUUCUUGUUGGACUAUAGUGGAAUUCCUGACUUACUGGAACCAGAACGAUAUUGCAAACUAAUUGAGGCAUCCAACAUCUUCAGGAGAAUUGUUUGAAUGGAGUCGGUUUUUUGAGCUGUGCAACAUUAGUCUUGUUCAAACAAACAUGUUCUUCUUGAAUGAUGAACGAUCUGCCAAACUAUUUGUCUGGAAUGUUUUUGUUUGUGGGGUCACGAUGAAUGCAAGAAAGGGAAUUAUGUAAUGCUGGUUAAUAUCUGAUUAGAAAACUAUCUAUUCUCUAUUGUUU